rnacentral:rRNA from 1 species
ACGCUGGCGGCAGGCCUAACACAUGCAAGUCGAGCGGUAGAGAGAAGCUUGCUUCUCUUGAGAGCGGCGGACGGGUGAGUAAUGCCUAGGAAUCUGCCUGGUAGUGGGGGAUAACGUUCGGAAACGGACGCUAAUACCGCAUACGUCCUACGGGAGAAAGCAGGGGACCUUCGGGCCUUGCGCUAUCAGAUGAGCCUAGGUCGGAUUAGCUAGUUGGUGGGGUAAUGGCUCACCAAGGCGACGAUCCGUAACUGGUCUGAGAGGAUGAUCAGUCACACUGGAACUGAGACACGGUCCAGACUCCUACGGGAGGCAGCAGUGGGGAAUAUUGGACAAUGGGCGAAAGCCUGAUCCAGCCAUGCCGCGUGUGUGAAGAAGGUCUUCGGAUUGUAAAGCACUUUAAGUUGGGAGGAAGGGCAGUAAAUUAAUACUUUGCUGUUUUGACGUUACCGACAGAAUAAGCACCGGCUAACUCUGUGCCAGCAGCCGCGGUAAUACAGAGGGUGCAAGCGUUAAUCGGAAUUACUGGGCGUAAAGCGCGCGUAGGUGGUUCGUUAAGUUGGAUGUGAAAUCCCCCGGGCUCAACCUGGGAACUGCAUUCAAAACUGACGAGCUAGAGUAUGGUAGAGGGUGGUGGAAUUUCCUGUGUAGCGGUGAAAUGCGUAGAUAUAGGAAGGAACACCAGUGGCGAAGGCGACCACCUGGACUGAUACUGACACUGAGGUGCGAAAGCGUGGGGAGCAAAC